rnacentral:rRNA from 1 species
AGUGAACGCUGGCGGUAGGCCUAACACAUGCAAGUCGAACGGCAGCACAGUAAGAGCUUGCUCUUACGGGUGGCGAGUGGCGGACGGGUGAGGAAUACAUCGGAAUCUACUUUUUCGUGGGGGAUAACGUAGGGAAACUUACGCUAAUACCGCAUACGACCUACGGGUGAAAGCAGGGGAUCUUCGGACCUUGCGCGAUUGAAUGAGCCGAUGUCGGAUUAGCUAGUUGGCGGGGUAAAGGCCCACCAAGGCGACGAUCCGUAGCUGGUCUGAGAGGAUGAUCAGCCACACUGGAACGUGGACACGGUCCAUGCUCCUACGGGAGGCAGCAGUGGGGAAUAUUGGACAAUGGGCGCAAGCCUUAUCCAGCCAUACCGCGUGGGUGAAGAAGGCCUUCGGGUUGUAAAGCCCUUUUGUUGGGAAAGAAAAGCAGCAGGUUAAUACCCCGCUGUUCUGACGGUACCCAAAGAAUAAGCACCGGCUAACUUCGUG